UGAAUCUCUCCAAUCCCAUGGAAAUGCUGAUUUCACACUUUCCUGAGUACUUUCUGCAGCAUUAAAGGGAAGAACAACCAAAUUCUUUGUAUUCCCUUCUCUUACUGGGUGCCAUCCAUUAGAAUAGGCUCAAAUAGAAACUGGAGCCAGUAAACUGUAUUCUUCCUGAAUAAUAUUGGCCAGAUCUAUAAAUAAAUGGUAAAGAUGAUGCUUAAUUCCUGCUGAUUCUUUGGGUGAGGGGUGGGGACCCCAUAGAACACCCCCUUUUCUCUCCUAGUGUCUCUGUGGUCCAGUACAAUAGUUGUGAGACUGAAGAAUGGAAGCCUCAGCUUCUUGUAGACCAUGAUAAGUUCUUAGUCAUAGAUAUCCUGCAGGAAAGGUUCCUCCCUGCUCUCCACCCCAUUUCCCGUCCCUAGAUAUUGCAAAUUAUCAGUAUUUACAAAGAAAGAACUGAUGUUGCAUCACUUUUGUUACUGUGACCACAACAAAACAACUCCUGCUGGAAUGUAGCUGAGCAGAGUGAUCGGGGAAUGGCGUCUGUUCUCUUGCCAAGGUUGCCAGGAUCACAACUCCACAGCUUUUGGAUCAGGUUCUGAAAGUUCAAGUGCCGCCUGGCUGCAGCUGAUGAAGGACUUUAUAGAAUUAUCUAUCCUUUGCUAGCCUCUCUUCCUAAUUAAAUUAUUUCUCUGCUGGUAGAAUGGGACUCUCGAUUGAUGUUUCUGUUAAUUUUUAAAGUCUUCAUGAAAGGAAGCCAGAUAGAGCAUGACUCUAAAGAAAAUGGAGUCCAUUUGGUUCUGUUUAAUGUCAAUGAAGCUCACUAUUAUAAUGGGUUUGGUUAAAGCAAUCUGAAACUACUCUGUAAAAUAAUCCACAUUUCCUAUUGGAAAUAAGGGAAGUGACUUCUGGAAAAGGAAGUUUCCACUUUUUUUUUUUUUUUUUUUUAAAUAUAGAAAGGCACAAGUGGCCGCAAGAAUUGUAAGUAUUACCGUUGUUGCCCGGCACUGUAUAGUAGGUGGUUUAGGGCACAUGCCCUGGUCACAGCUGAGUGGAACAGAGCUGAUUGGCCAAGAUAUUUCUCAGAACAUCAAAGCUUCCACUCUGGCAAAGUGUCCUAGCACAAAAGUUUUCUGUCCAUAGAGCAGAAAAAGGGGUGGGGGAAAUGUGGGAAAUGGAGCCUGGGUUUGGGACUAUCCUAUUGGGUUCUGGAGGCAGUUGCUGUGGUAUUUUUUUCUUUAUUUGGGUUUGUUUGUUUUUUGAACAACAGAAUGUGAAAACAUUGAGCGUUAAGAAAAAGUUAUGUUUUAGAGUUCUGAUCAUUUGCCAUGUUUGUAGUAUGGAAAAGUUGUACUGAAAGUGGUUUCUUCUCAAGUGUUAGGAAGGCUCGCAUAGACUAAGGCAGUUAUUUCAUGGGACUUUUACCCUUUAAAAAAAAGUAGAGAUGUAUACAAUUGUAACUACUGCAUAUAAAAGCAUUUCAUUUUGCC
rnacentral:lncRNA from 1 species